rnacentral:rRNA from 1 species
GUAGGUGGCAAGCGUUGUCCGGAAUUAUUGGGCGUAAAGCGCGCGCAGGCGGUUCUUUAAGUCUGAUGUGAAAGCCCACGGCUCAACCGUGGAGGGUCAUUGGAAACUGGAGAACUUGAGUACAGAAGAGGAAAGCGGAAUUCCACGUGUAGCGGUGAAAUGCGUAGAGAUGUGGAGGAACACCAGUGGCGAAGGCGGCUUUCUGGUCUGUAACUGACGCUGAGGCGCGAAAGCGUGGGGAGCAAACAGGGAUUAGAUACCCUGGUAGUCCACGCCGUAAACGAUGAGUGCUAAGUGUUAGGGGGUUUCCGCCCCCUUAGUGCUGCAGCUAACGCAUUGAGCACUCCGCCCUGGGAGUACGGCCGCAAGGCUG